rnacentral:rRNA from 1 species
CCUACGGGUGACAGCAGUGGGGAAUAUUGCACAAUGGGGGAAACCCUGAUGCAGCGACGCCGCGUGAAUGAAGAAGGAAUUCGUUAUGUAAAGCUCUAUCAGCAGGGAAGAAAAUGACGGUACCUGAGUAAGAAACCCCGGCUAACUACGUGCCAGCAGCCGCGGUAAUACGUAGGGGGCAAGCGUUAUCCGGAUUUACUGGGUGUAAAGGGGGCGUAGACGGAAGUGCAAGUCUGGAGUGAAAGGCGGGGCUCAACCCCCGGACUGCUCUGGAAACUGUACGGCUGGAGUGCAGGAGAGGUCAGUGGAAUUCCUAGUGUAGCGGUGAAAUGCGUAGAUAUUAGGAGGAACACCAGUGGCGAAGGCGGAUUACUGGACUGUAACUGACGUUGAGGCUCGAAAGCGUGGGGAGCAAACAGGAUUAGAUACCCCAGUAGUC